AUUGAACGCUGGCGGCAGGCUUAACACAUGCAAGUCGAGCGGAGAUGAGGUGCUUGCACCUUAUCUUAGCGGCGGACGGGUGAGUAAUGCUUAGGAAUCUGCCUAUUAGUGGGGGACAACAUUCCGAAAGGAAUGCUAAUACCGCAUACGUCCUACGGGAGAAAGCAGGGGAUCUUCGGACCUUGCGCUAAUAGAUGAGCCUAAGUCGGAUUAGCUAGUUGGUGGGGUAAAGGCCUACCAAGGCGACGAUCUGUAGCGGGUCUGAGAGGAUGAUCCGCCACACUGGGACUGAGACACGGCCCAGACUCCUACGGGAGGCAGCAGUGGGGUAUAUUGGACAAUGGGGGGAACCCUGAUCUAGCCAUGCCGCGUGUGUGAAGAAGGCCUUAUGGUUGUAAAGCACUUUAAGCGAGGAGGAGGCUACUGAGACUAAUACUCUUGGAUAGUGGACGUUACUCGCAGAAUAAGCACCGGCUAACUCUGUGCCAGCCGCCGCCGUAAGAC
rnacentral:rRNA from 1 species